UGUGAGGGGAGUGAAAUAGAACCUGAAACCGUGUACGUACAAGCAGUAGGAGCACCUUCGUGGUGUGACUGCGUACCUUUUGUAUAAUGGGUCAGCGACUUAUAUUCAGUGGCAAGGUUAACCGUAUAGGGGAGCCGUAGCGAAAGCGAGUCUUAACUGGGCGCUCAGUCUCUGGAUAUAGACCCGAAACCGGGUGAUCUAGCCAUGGGCAGGUUGAAGGUUGAGUAACAUCAACUGGAGGACCGAACCGACUAAUGUUGAAAAAUUAGCGGAUGACUUGUGGCUAGGGGUGAAAGGCCAAUCAAACUCGGAGAUAGCUGGUUCUCCCCGAAAGCUAUUUAGGUAGCGCCUCGGACGAAUACUACUGGGGGUAGAGCACUGUUAAGGCUAGGGGGUCAUCCCGACUUACCAACCCUUUGCAAACUCCGAAUACCAGUAAGUACUAUCCGGGAGACACACGGCGGGUGCUAACGUCCGUCGUGGAGAGGGAAACAACCCAGACCGCCAGCUAAGGUCCCAAAGUAUUGCUAAGUGGGAAACGAUGUGGGAAGGCUCAGACAGCUAGGAUGUUGGCUUAGAAGCAGCCAUCAUUUAAAGAAAGCGUAAUAGCUCACUAGUCGAGUCGGCCUGCGCGGAAGAUGUAACGGGGCUAAGCA
rnacentral:rRNA from 1 species